GUGCCAAGAAUUGCAAUGGCAGCACCAAGUGCAUUGGAGGGAUGAAUUGGCGUGUGGAAGAUAAGAAUGGAAGAGACAAUUACUGAAAUUCUCUUCAUUGUGUUCCCUAUGCUAAAUGUCAAGGGAGAUAUUUGAUCAAGAGACAUGUAAGAGACUUGAUUAUACAAGUGGUAGAACACACUCUGAGCAACUACCCACCUGAAAAAAAUUACAGCCCAAAUGUCCUCAAGUAUUUUUGACAAAGAAAAUUGAACAGUUUAAUGUUUGAUAGUAAUAAGAAAAGAGGAUUGAUUAGUGAUUACCAAACAAAAUUUGGACCAAUCUGAGAGAGGGCAGUUUGCCAGCCAACAGCCCACAUCUUAGGACCCUCCACAAGAAUGGCAAAAGGUGUGAGAAUCAAUAGAGACAAUAUGGAAAGGCAAGCAUAAUAGUUCAUUCCACUAACAGACAUGCCCUUCAUUCCCUUCUUUGAGAAUAUGUUCCUAAACACAAACGCCAAGUUUGAUAUCAUAGCCCCCAUAAACCCUGCAAAACACAAUCAACCAAAAAAGAGUUCUACUUCUACUUAGACUACUACUUGAUCUUGAUGAGAAUUUAAUAAACCUUGCUAUAAGGUAAAUGGCCUUACUGAUCAUAUUAAAAUUGAGUUCGGUCACAGCAGCAAGAGCACAACCUCCAAUAAUUGGCACCAGUGAUAAGUAAACCGGUAUAGGGAACGAUUUGCCGAGCAAGAACCUCGAUACUAGGACGCUGAAAGCCGGUUCUCCACUCUUGAUGAUGUGAGUAAAUGACACUGCAACUUUAGACAUACUCACAGUAGCUGCAACAUGUCCAAUGGUGUGUGCUACACAAUCAACCAAAAAAGAGUUCUACUUCUACUUAGACUACUACUUGAUCUUGAUGAGAAUUUAAUCAACCUUGCUAUACAGUAAAUGGCCUUACCGAUCAUAUUAAAAUUGAGUUCGGUCACAGCAGCAAGAGCACAACCUCCAAUAAUUGGCACCAGUGAUAAGUAAACCGGUAUAGGGAACGAUUCGCCGAGCAAGAACCUCGAUACUAGGACGCUGAAAGCCGGUUCUCCACUCUUGAUGAUGUGAGUAAAUGACACUGCAACUUUGGACAUACUCACAGUAGCUGCAACAUGCCCAAUGGUGUGUGCUACUGCAACCUGCAGGCACAGACACAGAAUUAGUAUCAAAGCCAUAGAUGGUAAACAAAAAAGGGUGAUACACUAAUAUUGGCUUACCGGGAACAAGGCCUUCCAGAAAUCCAUGUUAACUUUAGGGACAUGAGCGAGCUUUGUGGCCCAGGAGAUGAACAUGAUAAGAGAGCCUGCGGCGAGGGACAGAGUGGAAGUGAGCCAAGGGUAAGGAAAAGCAUUGAGAACCUUCUUGUUGUAUAUGUUGAAGACAACGUUCAGUGCCCACCAUGUAGCAAAAUACAAACCAAUCUUGAGCUUCUGAGCUGCCUCUGAUGUCUCUGCUGCUUGUGGCUGUGACUUAUCUGCCUCAUAGGCAUGACACCCUGCAACCUUCCUUCUAGGUUUAGUUGACAAUGUGAGGUUCUGAGUGCAUGGAAUAAUGUAAAGUGGUUUAUGGGAAGAGAAAGAGGGUAGUGCAGUGCUUUGUUGAAGAUUUUGAAUAGAGGGUGGUAGCCUUGGAACAGGAACACGCUUUCUGCAGGAGAAUGCAGCAGAGCCGGCGAGGGGUGAGGGUGCUGUGUACUUUAAGGAUGAUAUCAUGGUGGUUUCUGAUGGUGUAAAACAAAGAAGAUGAUGAGUUUGUAGAUGUUCAUAUAAUCAACAAAGGGUAUUUGUAUUUGUAUAUUUGAUGAAACCAAUGUGAUGUGGAUUCUUGUGUCUUACGCAUUGAUUACUACGAGGAAGCCACAUGAGCAACGGUUGACAAGUUUGUUAGCAAAGAUACUUUGGAAGGUGACAAGAUCGAAGAGGAAGAGAUUUUAAUGGAAUAUGGAGACGGAUCUUCCUAGGAAACGGAUUUAGAAUAAUCAAGUUUGAUUUUAUUCUAAAUUAAUCAAAACUCGUGGUGUCUUUUUAAGUGUAAGUUGGGCCAACGAAUUAAAGUAGUCUUAGAUCGUUAAGCACUGUUGUUAAUCACGAUUUUAAUUCUCCUCGUAAUUGACUGAUGCUGCGAACCAGGUUCGGCUGCCACUUGGAGUACAAAGGAAGAUGGACGAACAAUUGAAAGGAAUCUCUUCUCUCUCUCCACACACAUAUAUAUACAACGCAAAAUGUUGCAUUGAAGCAGAAGAUAAGGUGCAAUGAAAAUGAAGUCCCUCUUAUAUCCGACCCUGUUGUCAUUGCUGCGUUGGCACGUGGCGGUGGUAUCAGCUGCAAUGCUGAACAUGGCUAGCGAUGAAUCGGCCUUGGUUGCCAUGAGGGACCAUUUUAACUCCUUGGAUCCCAACAAUGUGCUCGCAAGCAACUGGUCUAGUAGUACCUCAGUUUGCAACUGGAUUGGCGUCACAUGCGGCUCUUCCCACCGCAGAGUAACUGCCUUGAAUCUCGCUUACAUGGCUCUUGAUGCCACCAUCCCUCCGCAUCUUGGAAACCUGUCAUUCCUUUCUCUCUUGCUUCUUCCCAACAAUAGCUUCCAUGGUACUCUACCUGCUGAUCUAGCUGGAUUACGCAGACUGACGAUCAUCAACCUCAGAUUCAACAAAUUCACAGGAAGCAUCCCGUCCUGGUUUGAAUUUCUACCCAAACUAGAAUACCUGUUACUGAGAGGGAACAGUUUCUCUGGCACAGUCCCACAUUUUCUGUUCAACAUGACUUCCCUGCAAUCGCUUGAACUUUCUGAAAACAAGUUUUGGGGUCCCUUACCUUCCAACAUUUUCUUGUCUCAUUCUUUGCAAUAUGUGUAUCUUACUCACAACCAAAUUUCAGGAGCUAUCCCUUCAGCUAUCAUCAACAGUUCGUUACUGCAGUUUAUUGUCCUCGACUACAACAACCUAUCCGGACAACUGCCGGAGCUCAUCUUCCACCAUCUUCCACACUUGAAAGGGCUUUACGUGUAUAGUAAUGCCUUAUCCGGCGAACUUCCACGCAGUUUGUUUGAUUGCAAGCAACUGCAAUUUUUAUCCUUAUCCUACAACACCUUCGGUGGAAACAUACCAUCUGCCAUGGGGAAUUUAACAAGCCUCAAAGAGAUCUAUCUUGGCCAUAACAAUUUUAGAGGUAUCGUAUGUUAUGCCAAUAUGACUCUCCGAAUUGAGUUUGAUUAACUUUAUCAUUAUUUAUGCAAUUUAACAUAUGUUGUGGCAGGUGCAAUACCAAAUGAGAUUGGUAAUCUACGUAGUUUAGAGAUUAUGAAUCUUCCUUUCGCCAAUGUGAGUGGCUACAUUCCGCCAUCAAUAUUUAAUAUUUCUACCCUACAAGAAAUUGAUGUUACUAGAAAUCAUUUAUCAGGCAGCCUCCCAGCAAGCCUAGGCUCCAUGCUUCCAAAACUUGUUAGGCUGUACAUGGGGAUUAAUUAUCUCAGUGGAAGAAUCCCAAGCUCCUUGUACAAUGCCACUAUGCUUAAUACCAUAGAUUUGGCUUACAAUUCAUUUUCUGGAUACAUUCCAGACAUUUUUGGCAGCUUAAGAAGUCUCCAGCUGCUCAAUCUUGGUGCAAAUAAUUUCACAAGUGAUUCAUCCGAUUCAGAGCUAAGCAUUAUAAAUUCUUUGACAAAUUGUAGAUUUCUCAAAAACUUGAUAUUUUCUGAAAAUCCAUUGGAUUCUAUUCUUCCAAUAUCGGUAGGAAACCUUUCUACUUCUCUGGUUGACUUGAAUCUUAAGAGUUGUUCAAUGAGAGGCACCAUUCCAGCAAGUAUUGGCAACUUGAGCAGCUUGAUAAACCUUGACCUUGGUGAUAAUAAUUUUGUUGGAACCUUUCCUACUAGCAUAGGGAAAUUAAUAAAGAUACAAGGCCUCUUUUUAGAUGACAACCAAUUGGAAGGAUUUGUUCCGAAUCAAUUGUGUCAACUAACGAGCUUGUAUUCAUUUACCGUUAAAAGCAACAAGUUAUCUGGCCCUAUACCUUCUUGCUUAAGCAAUCUUUCCUCAUUAAGAUGGCUUCGGCUUUCUUCAAAUAAAUUCAACUCAAUACCUUCCACCUUGUGGGGGCUGUCCGAUUUAUUGCUUUUAGACUUAUCUUCCAAUAAUUUAAGUGGAUAUCUCCCAUUAGAUAGUGGAAAUCUAAAAGCCAUAAGUUGGAUUUAUUUAUCAGGAAAUCAAUUUUCAGGUAGCAUCCCAAGAAGCCUCAGCAAUCUUAUGAAUUUGGUUCUUCUUACCUUAGCAAGAAACAAAUUUGAAGGGCCCAUCCCAGAAUCAUUUGGUCGUAUGGUAAGUUUGGAACAACUUGACUUAUCAGAAAAUAACUUGUCUGGUGUCAUUCCUAAAACAUUGGAGGCACUUGUGUAUCUGAAAUAUUUCAAUGUUUCUCACAAUAAGUUAAAAGGAAAAAUCCCGGAUGGGGGACCUUUUGCAAACUUCUCAGCUCAGUCGUUCAUGGGGAAUAAAGGAUUAUGUGGUGCUCCACGUUUCCAUUUUUCGGAAUGUAAAAUUGAAAAAUCCCGAAAAUGGAAUGCACAUAUUGUGUUGACAUAUAUUUUAUCUGCAGCAAUAGUUGCCACCCUUCUUGUGGCAUUCCUUUGCAUCCUAAAAUUCCGGAAGCACAAGGUGGUCAACAAUUCAGAGGUGGAUCAAUCGGGAGCAAGAUGGAGAAGAAUAUCAUACUAUGAAAUUCAGCAAGCAACAGAUAGGUUCAAUGAUGGCAACUUGCUUGGUGUAGGGAGUUUUGGAAGAGUGUAUAAAGGAGAACUCUCAGAUGGGACGAACGUUGCAGUGAAAGUGUUUAAUCUGGGACUAGAAGGAGCAUUCAGGAGUUUCGAUGCUGAAUGUGAGAUAUUGCGCAGUGUCCGCCAUCGAAACUUAACCAAAAUCAUUAGCAGCUGCAGCAACAUGGACUUCAAGGCAUUGAUCCUAAGCUACAUGCCUAAUGGGAGUUUAGAGAGGUGGCUACACUCGGAACACCAUGGCUUAAGUAUGAUCCAGAGGCUAAACAUAAUGAUAGAUGUUGCAGAAGCAGUGGAUUACCUGCAUAAUGGUGGUUCUGUACCAAUUAUACACUGUGAUUUGAAACCCAGCAACAUAUUACUAGAUGAAGACAUGGUUGCCCACGUGACUGAUUUUGGCAUUGCAAAAUUGCUGAGUGGGGAUGACUCCAUCACUCAAACCAUGAAUCUAGCCACAAUAGGCUAUAUGGCCCCUGGUGAGUUUCUUAUUUAAUCUUAUGCUUUAUGUAAUAAACCUUGAUAGCAAUCAGCUAUGAAUCUAAUAAAAUUUGUUUUGUUUUCCACUUUGUUGUUUUUCUUCUUAUUCUGCAGAAUAUGGACUUGAGGGAAGAGUGUCUAGGCAAGGUGAUGUGUAUAGCUAUGGAAUUUUACUUAUGGAGACCUUCACACAGAAAAAACCCACUGAUGAAAUGUUUGUGGGAGAGUUUAGCAUCAAAGAGUGGGUGAAAAUGUCAUGCCCUGAUUCACUACUUGAUAUCAUUGAUGCAAAAUUAUUGGUGGAAGAAGGAGAAACAGAUACUAAACAGGACUGCUUGUUGUCUAUAAUGACUUUAGCUCUGAAUUGCUCAGCUGAGUCUCCGGGUGAAAGGACAAGAAUGAAAGACGCUAUGAAUGCUCUUAAAAAGAUUAAAAGAUUACUCUUGAACUAAAAUAUAUGCUUAAGUGUUCGGCUCAAUUUACAUAUUUAGAAUCAUUUUUAGAAGUUCUCGUAACCCCUUUUGGUUAAGAUGUAACUUCUCAUUUUAACCAAAUUACUUCAAUUAUAUGCAUUGCGAAUUGGGAUCGUGUUUCACCCGCACAUACCGUAGUUAUUUUUUCAAGAAAAAAAAGGAAGGCCUAGGCUAGAGAUUUAUUUCAUAUAUAUAUAUAUAUAUAUAUUUGUUUUAAGUAAAGAUAAAAAAUGAUUUUUCUUUUUAUUUUUUGAGUAAAGGACAAAUAGGUCCCUGACUUUUUUUUUCGCGGACAUUUUCAUCUUCAAGGAUUGGAAAAUACAUUCAUGUCCCUGACUCUUCCAAAACGCGGACAAAUUGACCCCUCCGUUAAACUGACUCCGUUAGACUCAACGGAAAACGUUGACAUGGCUCCCGUUGCAUGUAGCUUUUCAAAACAGGACAUAUUAGUUCUCUCACACCAAAACGUGUAGCUUUUCAAAACAGGACAUAUUAGUCCUCCCAACUCAAAACGACGUCAUUUCACCCAAACCCCCAAUCUUUCACAUUUAUGAGCCAUAAUCCUUCCACAGAUCAGCCACCUCCAACUCCAACCACCUCAUGUGCCCCUGACUCCCUCUUCCACCACCACCUACGCUGCCCCUCCUCUCCUUGCCCUAUUUUCCUCCCUCUCUACCUCUGUCAUUUUCUUCUUCCUUCGUCCUUUUUCCCUUCCAUUCUUCUUCCUCGGCCCCUGCUUCCAUCACCGCCGCACAGCCGCGCUUCCGUCAGCCACCAUCAACGCCGGCGACCUCCUCCUUCCUCUCGCACUAGCACCGCUUCCAGCAAUAACCCAUCCGGUGAGGCGGAUCCAAAUUCUUGCGGCGGAGACACUGUCACCGGCCAGAAUCGCAAGUUCUGUCCGCCGCCACUUACGCCGCGAUUGCAACAGAGUUCCAAGUCCCGGUCGAGCCUGCCGCCCCUCCAGCCGCUUUUGAUAGCCCGGCGGAGCCUCGAUGAGUGGCCGCAAGCGAGAUCAGAUGACAUUGGGGAGUGGUUGCCCCCACAGCCGCCGUUGACCCUCGGUGGCGGCAUGAGAGGUAAUCCUGGUGAAAGAUUGAAUCUUGAUCUCUCCUCAAUUCAGAUGAACAAUAAUAGGAAUUGCAAUAAUGGCAGUAAUAGUAGUGGUAAUAAUAAUAGUUGUAACAAUAAUGGUGUUAGUAGACUCUUGAAGAGGGAUAGAAUUGUAUUUUUUGAUAAGGAGUGUUCAAAGGUUGCUGAACAUGUUUACCUUGGUGGUGAUGCUGUUGCUAAGAAUAGGGAUAUAUUGAAACAGAAUGGGAUCACUCAUAUCUUGAACUGUGUUGGUUUUGUGUGCUCCGAAUAUUUUAAGGCUGAUUUUGUGUAUAGAACAUUGUGGCUUCAGGAUAGUCCUUCAGAGGAUAUUACUAGUAUCUUAUAUGAUGUGUUUGAUUACUUUGAGGAUGUUAGGAAACAAGGUGGUAGGGUGUUUGUGCACUGUUGUCAAGGUGUGUCUAGGUCUACUUCGUUGGUGAUUGCAUACCUCAUGUGGAGGGAAGAACAGAGCUUUGAUGAUGCUUUUCAGUUGGUGAAGGCUGUAAGGGGUAUUGUCGAUCUAAAUAUGGGGUUUGUUUGCCAGUUGUUGCAGUGCCAGAAGAGGGUGCAUGCAGUUCCUCUUAGUCCUACCUCUUUGCUUAGGAUGUAUAGGAUGACUCCACACUCGCCUUAUGAUCCUUUGCAUCUCAUCCCCAAAAUGUUAACGGAUCCUUCGUCUUCCGUAUUGGACUCCAGGGGAGCUUUUUUUGUACAUAUUCCCACUGCAAUAUUUGUUUGGUGAUUAGAGGAAAGUGGGCUGCUAUGAUGUUGAUUAUGAAGUUUUCCAAAAAGCUAUUGUUGGAGGUUUUGUGCCAAAUAAUUUUUGUAUUAUAUAAAAAUAACAACUUUAAUAUAUAUUUUUUAUUUUUUUAAUUCUAUUUUUAUUUUUUUGUUAUGGUAUCAAAACACUUAGAACUUUGUUAAUAUCCAUUAAUAGUGAAAACUCUUUUUUGAAGUAAAAGAGCUCAACACAAUAAAAUGAAGCAAUAAAAUAGAAAAAAAUUUAACAGCAAGUAUAACAAUUUAACACAUGGUCAUUCCCGGCAUUACAUCAACAACCGUUAGGAUCAAUUCUAAUCCACUCUUUGUAAUUCAUAAGCGACCUAUUGAUAAUUUCCGUUAUUCCUACUUCUUAACUUCUAAAAAUUUUGUUAUUCUUUUUCAUCCAUAUAUGCCAAAACCCAAUAACAAAGCUCUCGCAAUAGAUGACAACACUUUAAAUCCUUCUCAAAAUCCAAACCGUCCUUACUAUAUACAUCCAAGCCAGAGUCCUACAUCAAUUCUUAUUUUUUCAGUAUGGCUUUUGACAGGUUCAAUUUCAGCUUCUCCUGCAAAUGAUCCCCUCUCUUCAUCUUGGGAAAGAUGCAAUAACCUAAUACUUUUUUGGUUCUUUCACUCAAUAUCUCCCUCAAUCACACAAAGUGUUAUCUAUCUUACCUCUCCUUCAUCUGUUUGGCAAGAUCUCCACAAUCGUUUUUCUCAAGUAAUACCACAGGAGUUGGUUAUCAUUCCCAUGAGCAUUAACGGAUUAAGUAAGCAAUAGUCAAUUAAUUAUUCUAGUCAGACAAUCAAAAUUUAGUUUUUAGAAAGCUUUAACAUAAACAGUAAAAUAGGCAAAAGUAAACAGUGAAUACUAAAAAGAUGAUAUGAUUAAAAGAGUUAAGAUUUUAGAGAUGUCGAGACUUAACCAAUAUUUUUCACUUUCCACAUUGAUCAUGCAAAGAUACAUCUAUGGCAAAUCAUUAAUAAUCAAACAUCAAUCUCUUGAUAAUUUGAUUUCUCUUUAACCUAAUUAAUCGUUAAUUUCUUAGUCAAUUAUUUAAGAAAGCAUAAAGUAUCGUUUUUGUCUCCAACGUUUGGGGUAAGUCCUAAACUUGUAAAUCGUCCUAUUUAAAUCCCAAUGUUUUAAAAUUGGCUCAAUGUUGUCCUACCGUUAGAGAUCCGUUAACAGAAUUGACGGCCGGAUAAAAUUGAGACGAUUUUGAAACGUUAGGGACUUAAAUAGGACGAAAACGUUGGGGACAAAAAUGAUUCAUAGAAAUAAAUUUUAAUUUUAUCUUUCAAUAAUAUUAAUUUUUUACGGUACAUAAUUAUUCAAUUAUUUUUUAAUCACGUCUAAGUAAAUUACAGUUAAUCACAUUACUUUCAUUCUAAAUAAAUUUAUUUUUUUUAAUAAUUUUACUCUUCAAAAUUUUUACUCAUCAUGAAAUAUUUGUAGAAUGACUAGUACAUAAACUUGCAAAAAAGAAAAAAAAAUGAUACACAUACAAUAAAGUAUAAAGUAUACCUUUUGUCUCUAAUGUAUCGAAAUUCUUUACCGUUUAAUUUAGUUAAAAUUUAUUUCUAAUUUUAUUCUUCAAUAAUAUCAAAUUUUUGCGGUAGCUAAUUAUUCAAUUAUUAUUUUAUUUUAUUUUUAAUCACAGUAUUUUUUCUAAGUGAAUUUAUUUUUUAUUAAGAGCAAAAUAAAAAAAUAAACAACAAUGCUAGGGAACCAAGAGGGUAUCAGCCAAAUGCCUCUGGGUGAAUCUAAAACCUCUACAUGGAUGGUGCUUAUGCUAGGCAUUAGAAUGUUUCUUUUCUUUGUAAAUUAGAUGGUUCUGAAUCUAUUUUUUGAAUUACAAAUAAGUCAACAUAUAUUGAUGUUUCUUCUGCUAAGUAUCAGAAUAUUUCUUUUUCAUACUAAAUGGAUGUUCUUUUAUAUAUUUUUUGAAUGUUUUUGUAUGGCAAAUGUGAAUAUCUUUAUUUUUUUUAAAAUUUCAUAGUUUUUUUUAAAUCCUUUAAAUAUAAAAUAUAACUCAAUAUUUCUUUUGUUAAGCAUUAGGAUGUUUUUUUUUUCAUAUUAAAUAAAUAUUUUUUUUAUAUUUCUGUAAUUGUUCAAGAACAACUCGUGUUCCACCACUCCUUCCUUAUCCUUGAAGCUGAACCAAGUGCAAGGUAAAGACCGAUUGGAUGCGAUGAAAUCGCGAUUUGACCGAUUCGAAGACUUGUGCCUAUAAAAACCUUCAUCUCCUUCGUUCUUUCCUUUCCAAAGUUUGAUGAAAGCUUCUUCUUUGAAUUCGAAUCUGAACCCGAGUUUUUUGACUUGGAACGAACAAUGGCCGUUCCUGAUUGUGAUUAUGCUUCUUUCAAGGUGAAGGACCUUCCAGAUCUGAUUCUGUUUUGUCGAUCAGGUGAAAUCUACACACUAUUUCUCAGUGUGUGCCAGAAAGCCUCCUUAGUUGAUGGUAUCAUAGUGAAUACCUUCAAUGAUUUGGAACCAGAGGCCAUGAGAGCUUUACACAAGGGUUCUCAUCCUUCUUGUUCUAUUUUUCCGGUUGGACCCAUCGUUGCUCAACCCAACCAAAAUCAAGAUGAGAAGAUUCAUGAAUGUGUUGCAUGGUUGAACCAUCAGCCAUCGAAAUCUAUGUUAUAUAUAUGUUUCGAGAGUGGUAGAACACUCUCUCAGGAGCAAGUGAAUGAGAUAGCAUUUGGAUUGGAAUUGAGUGGACAAAAAUUCUUGUGGAUAUUUUUAGAGGUAGGUAGGUUAAUGUGGAAGAAAAGAGUAAGGUUUUUAUAAGCUUUGAUUAGGUUUACUUAAUGAGUUUGAAAUUUUUUAAAUUUUGAAUUUAAAAUUUUAAAAUUAAUUAUUAAUAAUUAUAAUUAAUUGAGUUGUUCACUUUUUGGCUGAUUAGACACUUGGUUCCUAUACUUUUUCAAUUAAAUAAUAAAUAAUUAUUUGAUGUAAAUAAAUUAGNNNNNNNNNNNNNNNNNNNNNNNNNNNNNNNNNNNNNNNNNNNNNNNNNNNNNNNNNNNNNNNNNNNNNNNNNGAAAACGCUGACAUAUCUACCCAUAGAAAAAAGAAAUUACCAUUUGUACCCAUAAAACAUGAGUUUCGCACAACAAAAAUAUCCAAACACUAAAAAAUUAUCUAAAAACCCCAAAAUACCCUUAUCAUUACCACUGCUACCAUCAUCUCCCAUCUCUCUCUUCGCAUCACAUGAACACUCUCCGAUCUAACCUCCAUUUCUCUGCCACAAACCACCUCUGCCACAAACCACCUCAUUGCCACUCCUUUAUCACCAUAACCUUCACCUUUGGAGGAAUCAAAAUCAACCCAGAGAGAAAUUUGAAAUGGAUGACGAUGGGUGAGAGUCAAAAUUGGAUCUUGGUUUCAGCUGAAUCUGAAGCUGUUUGAGGGAACAAAACAUUGAAAAGGGUGUCAUGGAGAAAGCUAAUAGAAAUAGGGCGAAAAAGAACACAGAUCCAAGGUGAGAAGAGAGUGAGGAGAGAGGAUCAAAUCUGAACAAUCAAAUACAGAAGUCUCAUGUAUUUGGAUUUCCUUUUUCUGGGAGAAAAGAAAAAUGGUAAAAGAGAUAGAAAGAGAGAGAGAGAGCUCACCGCGAUUUUGGUUCGCAAAGGGGACCGCGGUGGCGGCGGCUGGCGCGGUGGCCCGUCAGGGGCACUGGUUCGGUGAUGAGGAGAAGGUAGCCCCGGUAGGUGAGGGUGGUCGGCGGUGAAAAGAGGAGAAGGGGGCACUGCGGCUCUAGGGUUGCUAGCGGCGGCGAAGCAGGGGCGGGGUGGGUGCGAAGGUCCUCUGGUCGGCAAGACCGAGACAGGAAAGUAGAGAAGGAGGGGUGGUCACUGACAAGGGUCUCUGACGCGGUAGGCUCUGGUUUGAAGCCGAUGGUGAUGGUGGCAAGGAGAAGCUGGUGCGGUGCUCCUGGGAUGGCGGAGGUCCGCGAUGUUGCUAGCGGAGAAGGGUGAACGAUGAUGAGGAGGGUGAGACGGUGGUUUGUGGUUGAUGCUGGGAUUGGGUGGCUGUGAACAUUGAGAGAGAGAGGAGGGAGGAUGAGGAGGGUGAGACGGUGGUUUGUGGUUGAUGCUGGGAUUGGGUGGCUGUGAACAUUGAGAGAGAGAGGAGGGAGAUGAUAGUGUGGAGAGAAGGGUAAUUUAGGGAUUUUAGAUAAUUUUUUAGGGUUUGGAUAAUUUUGCCUGUAAAAAUAAUUUUUUAUGGGUACAAAUGGUAAUUUCUUUUUUUUAUGGGUAGAUAUAUCAGCGUUUUCAACUUUCGUGGGUACAAAUGGUAGUUUACUCAAAAUUUAAUCUUUUCUUCAAUAAUUUAAUCUGUAUAUAAACUAUUUCAAUUACCCGUGUAUUAUUAUUAAUUCAAUCAAUUAUUUCAACUAAUUAAUUCAAUCAAUUAUUUCUUAAUUUAUUUUUUUGAAUUCAAUAAAUCAAAUAAAAUCAAUUAUACUAAUUGAUUUGAUUAAUUCUUAAAAAUAUUUUUAUUUUAUUUAUUUAAAUACAUGAGUUAUAACUAAUUAGUUAUUUAAUUUUAUUAGGAUAAAUAUCAAGUUCUAUUCCUAAUAUAAAAUAUACAAAAUUUUAUUCCUUCCAUUUUUGUUUUACCACUAUAAAAGAUCAUAUAUGCUAGAAAAAAAAUAUCAUUUGUUUACCAAUUCCUCCUUCAUUGGGUAGUUUUUACAACAAUUCUUUUUCUUCCUAUGAGGCGUCGUCGCAAGAAGGCAACUAUGUGGACACAAACCACCACACACUCUCCAACUCCCGUGCUCAUCAUUCAAAGCAAUAUAUGAUAUGUUAUCCAUGAGACAUUUAUAAACCAUGGUGUUAUCAUGUAUGCAUAAAUAAAAAAAUUUCGUAUUUAAACUUAAAUCAUUUAUCUGUUUGUGUGGUAUAUUGUGGUGUAAAAUUACUUUUAAUUUGUGUUGUACAAUGAUAUUAUGGUCUAAUUUAAGUUUUUACUUUAGAACUGUGUUAUGAUUUUAUUUCAUCAUUUUCUCUUAGAUAUCAAGUUGACGUAUUUUUAUUUAUUAUUAUUGAAAUGGAUGUAAUAUGAAAUUCAUAAAAAAAAAAAAACUCACACUGAAUUUAUUUUAUUGUAGUCUUCUAUCUCUUCUAUUUCAUUUUGUUUUCUUCUUAUUCAUUUUAUUUUUUUUAAAUAUCAUAUAAUUUAUUAUAAUUUAUACUAAUUAAUUAAUUAUAAUUCAUUAUAUCAAUUAGUUUGAUUUAUUAAUUUAUAAAUAUGCAUGAUAAAAUAGAUCAUUUGUUACUUAUAACGUUAAUUCUUCUAAAAUCUAAAUAUGAAUAAUUAUAUUUUUACUUUUUGUUAUGAACAAAAUAUUAUUAAUAAUUAACCACUCAUACUUUUUAAUCAAAGUAUUUGGAUAAUUUUUAUAUUUACUAAUAUUAAUUGUUGAUUAUUUUUCGUAAAUAAAUUGUAUUAUAAUUUUAUGUUAGUUCAUAAUUGAUUAACGAUUGAUGUUCAUGAAGCUAUGUUACUCUAAAUUUUAUAUUUUACAAAUAUUUUAUUUAAAUNNNNNNNNNNNNNNNNNNNNNNNNNNNNNNNNNNNNNNNNNNNNNNNNNNNNNNNNNNNNNNNNNNNNNNNNNNNNNNNNNNNNNNNNNNNNNNNNNNNNNNNNNNNNNNNNNNNNNNNNNNNNNNNNNNNNNNNNNNNNNNNNNNNNNNNNNNNNNNNNNNNNNNNNNNNNNNNNNNNNNNNNNNNNNNNNNNNNNNNNNNNNNNNNNNNNNNNNNNNNNNNNNNNNNNNNNNNNNNNNNNNNNNNNNNNNNNNNNNNNNNNNNNNNNNNNNNNNNNNNNNNNNNNNNNNNNNNNNNNNNNNNNNNNNNNNNNNNNNNNNNNNNNNNNNNNNNNNNNNNNNNNNNNNNNNNNNNNNNNNNNNNNNNNNNNNNNNNNNNNNNNNNNNNNNNNNNNNNNNNNNNNNNNNNNNNNNNNNNNNNNNNNNNNNNNNNNNNNNNNNNNNNNNNNNNNNNNNNNNNNNNNNNNNNNNNNNNNNNNNNNNNNNNNNNNNNNNNNNNNNNNNNNNNNNNNNNNNNNNNNNNNNNNNNNNNNNNNNNNNNNNNNNNNNNNNNNNNNNNNNNNNNNNNNNNNNNNNNNNNNNNNNNNNNNCAAGUAUCUACAAUUAAUAAUAACAAGAUACUAUAUUUUAAGUUGUAUAAUAUAAUAAAAAAGAACGUAGCAAUUUAUAUCUGCUUUCUAUAUAGCAAUAAUAUUAUAUAUAUUUAUAUAUCUCCUCUUUUAGCUCUUUUCUAAAAAUAUUGGCAUAUAAUUAAUGUAGAUAACAUAUAUAUUGAGUAAGUAUUUCCAUUGAAUUAAUCAUAAAGGUUAAUAAAAUAUAAUGGCAUAAUUUUCAUCUAAUUGUAGCAAGUAUCUCUAUUAAAAAUAUUGACUAAUUAUUACCGUGUAUAAUUAAUGUGUGUGUAUAUAUAUAUAUAUAGUAAUAGUGAAUUUUUACAAUUAUUUAUCAUUUAGAGAAUUCAUAAUUCAGACAUUGUUCUUUUUUUAUUUUUUAUUUUUCAUACCUAAUGGCUGCUAGCUACGAUUCUAUCAAUAGUAUUAUCUAUGGUAGAUUAUGUGAUGAAAAAGUUUGGAAAAUAAAGGCAAGAAUUAUAAGGUUAUGGAAAGUCUCAUCCAAAUUUGACAAGAGCAAGACGGCUUACAUAGAAAUGGUUCUAAUGGAUGUUAAAGUUAGUCGAUUAUUUUUCAUGAUUCUUUCAAGUGAUGUUAGGUUCAAUUUAUAAAUAUUUUUUGUUUGUAUUUUAAAUUUAUUUGAUAAGUAAACCAUUGCAAUCAAAGACAGUGCCAUUUAAUAGUUUUAUAAGUGCUAAUAGUUUUUAUAUUUAAUUUGUUUUACAGUGUGAUAAAAUUCAUUCUUCAAUCAAGAAUUAUUUGGCAAAGAUCUUUGAGAAUGAACUUAUUGAGGGGAAGGUCUAUGUCUUCUCAGAUUUUGUAAUUGAGGAAUCAAGCGAAAUUUAUAUUCCGACUGCACACGUAUGUAGAAUAAUUUUUAAGAAGGAGUCACGUAUAAUAAAUACGGUCGAUGAUCGUAGAAUUCCUGACAAUCAUUUCAAUUUUCUUGCUCAUGCUGAUAUAUUGAAGUAAACAAAUGAACAAUCCAACUUAUUUGGUACGUAGUUAAUUUGUAUUAAUCUACACAAAACUUUUUUUUAUUUUAUUUUUUGCAAAAAAAAUCAUAUAAUAGCAUCAUUUUAUCGAUAACAUAAAUUUUAAUAGUUUAUUUAUGCAAAUAUUUAAAAUUGUAUUGCGACUUUUUUAAAGGUAUAUCCUUUUAUUAAUAUAUUGUUAGUUUUAUCGUUUAAUAUAAAAUAAAUUGAUAAUUUUUUUUAAUUUAUAAGUAAUUUAUUAUGUUAUUCAUUUAUUUGUCCUUAAUUUGAUGCUUUUAAUUUUUUUUAAUUAGAUGUUAUUGGACUCUUGACUGAAAAAAAAGAGCUUAUAUCAUGAUCAAAAAUAGGAAGAAGUGACCAUUACAUUGUGGUUGAUCUUCAUGAUUUAGAGUAUGUAAAAUUUUAAUAUUUCACAAUAAAAUUUUGUUUUGUAACAAUUAUCUAUACAUAUGAAAAAUAUUUUAUCUUUUUUAUUAUAUAUUACUACUUAUUUCUUUUAAUUCUUGCUUUUAUUUAGAAAUAAGAAAAAAUAAGGUGCAUACUGUGAGAUCAAUUUACAAUCUAAUUAUUCAAUUAUCUACGUGAUCACCAAACAAUCAAAUACGUACUUAUUCUCCCAUUUGCAAAAUUUAACAAAGACAUUGAUAAGCAUAUUGGUUUAUUUUUUAUUUAACAUAUUUAUUUAUGUUAUAUUUGUAAUCAUAUUAUAUCUAUUUUUAUGAAUAUAUCUUUUUAGAAAAUACUCUUAGUAUUAGCAUAUGGUGUAUUAAAUAAAUAUUAGUGGUUUUAAAUUAUGCAAAUGUUUAAAAUUGUAUUGUGACUUUUUUAAAGGUAUAUCAUUUUAUUAAUAUAUCGUUAGUUUUAUCGUUUAAUAUAAAAUAAAUUGGUAAAAAAAUUUUAAUUUAUAAGUAAUUUAUUAUGUUAUUUAUUUAUUUGUCCUUAAUUUAAUACUUUUAAUUCAUUUUUUUUCAAUUAGAUGUUAUUAGACUCUUGACUGAAAAAAAAGAGCUUAUAUCAUGAUCAAAAAUAAGAAGUGACCAUUAUAUUGUGGUUGAUCUUCAUGAUUUGGAGUAUGUGAAAUUUUAAUAUUUCACAAUAAGAUUUUAUUUUGUAACAAUUAUCUAUACAUAUACAAAAUAUUUUAUCUUUUUCAUUAUAUAUUAUUACUUAUUUCACUUAAUUCUUGCUUUUAUUUAGAAAUGAAAAAAAAUAAGGUGCACACUGUGAAAUCAAUUUACAACUCAAUUAUUCAAUUAUCUAUGUGAUCACCAAACAACCGAAUACAUAUUUAUUCUCCAAUUUGUAAAAUUUAAUAAAGGCAUUAGUAAGCAUAUUAGUUUAACUUUUUAUUUAACAUAUUUGUUUAUGUUAUAUUUGUAAUCAUAUUAUAUCUAUUUUUACGAAUAUAUCUUUUUAGAAAAUACUCUUAGUAUUAGCAUAUGAUGUAUUAAAUAAAUAUUAGUAGUUUUAAAUUAUUUAUUAUUUAUUAGAGAACUUUGUGCAUUAGAAUUCUCUAAUAAUUUGUUGUUCAUUUUAAGCUCAUUUUGAUAUGUUCUUACUUCACGGUAAAACAACAUAUAAAAAUUUGUUAGUGAAAAGUAUUACUAAGUUAUUUAUGGUCACAUUAAGUAUACAUGUCUGAUUUACUGAAAAAGGUAAAUUAUUAAAACUGAUUAAUAACUAUUUUAGAAUUGAUAUACUUAACACUAAAUUAAGAAAAAAUGAACAAUACAUAACAUAUUACUUUUUUAUUAGUUAAAUUAUUAUAAUUCAAAUUAAUUUUAAUAAAACAAUUUAAAAUUAUAAUUUCAAUCUUAUCACGUGCAUGAUACGGGUUAUUACACUUGUAAAUUAUAUAAUAACCCAAUUUACAAGUGUAAUAUGUUUAAUUAUUGAGGAAGAAAAAUAUUUUACACGGGUAAUUAUUAGAAUUAUUUAUGAAAAUGAGCUUUAUUACAUAUAAUAUGUAAUAUGUAAGUCGAUCUUACCUACAUGAACCCAGUUUUAGAAAGGUAUAUUAAUUUAUUAAAAUUAAUAUACCUACAUGUUAGAGUAAUAAAAUUUAUUUUAGAAAAAUAUCUUUAAUUAAUAUAAAAUAAUAUGUUUUGGAUUAUUUUAGAAAGGUAUAUAAUGUUUUGGUUAAUAAACUUUUAUAAAAGCUAUUAGCAUUUACAAAGAUAUUAAAAAGAUAUUGGUUGAUUUUGUGCUUCUGUAUUAGUUUAUAUGUCUUCUCAAAUUUUUUGAUUGAAGAAUCAAGUGGAAUUUUUCUACAUUAGGAUUCUCUAUUAAUUUGUUCUUCAUUUUGAGCUGAUUUUGAUAUGUUCUUACUUCAAAACAAAACAACAUAUAAAACUUUGUUGGUGAAUUUAAGUAUUACUAGAUUAUUUAUAAUCAUAUUGAGUAUAUAUGUCUGAUUUAUUGAAAAAUAUAGAUUAAAUAUCUAUUCUAUAGUUAAUACAAUUAACACUACAUUAAGAAAAGAAAAACAAUGCAUACAAGUUAUUUUUUUUAUUAAUUAAAUUAUUAUAAUUAAAAUUAAUUUUAACACAACAGCUUAAAAUUAUAAUUUCAAUCUCAUCACGUGCAUGGCACGGGUUAUUACACUUGUAUAAAAUAUAACUGAAUAUUUAUUUUGUUAAGCAUUAGGAUGUUUUUUUCAUAUUAAAUAAAUAUUUUUUUUAUAUUUCUGUAAUUGUUCAAGAACAACUCGUGUUCCACCACUCAUUCCUUAUUCUUGAAGCUGAACCAAGUGCAAGGAAAAGACCGAUUGGAUGCGAUAAAAUCGCGAUUUGACCGAUUCGAAGACUUGUGCCUAUAAAAACCUUCCUCUCCUUCGUUCUUUCCUUUCCAAAGUUUGAUGAAAGCUUCUUCUCCGAAUUCGAAUCCGAACCCGAGUUUUUUGACUUGGAACGAACAAUGGCCGUUCCUGGUUGUGAUUAUGCUUCUUUCAAGGUGAAUGACCUUCCAGAUCUGAUUCUGUUUUGUCGAUCAGGUGAAAUCUACACACUAUUUCUCAGUGUGUGCCAGAAAGCCUCCUUGGUUGAUGGUAUCAUAGUGAAUACCUUCAAUGAUUUAGAACCAGAGGCCAUGAGAGCUUUACACAAGGGUUCUCAUCCUUCUCGUUCUAUUUUUUCGGUUGGACCCAUCGUUGCUCAACCCAACCAAAACCAAGAUGAGAAGAUUCAUGAAUGUGUUGCAUGGUUGAACCAUCAGCCAUCAAAAUCUAUGUUGUAUAUAUGUUUCGGGAGUGGUGGAACACUCUCUCAGGAGCAAGUGAAUGAGAUAGCAUUUGGAUUGGAAUUGAGUGGACAAAAUUUUUUGUGGACAUUUUUAGAGGUAGGUAGGUUAAUGUGGAAGAAAAGAGUAAGGUUUUUAUAAGUUUUGAUUACGUUUACUUAAUAAUUUUGUUCUUAACAAAAAAUAAAUUUACUUAAAAAAAUAAUGUGAUUAAAAAUAAAAUAAAAGAAUAAUUGAAUAACUAUGCAUUGUAAAAAAUUGAUAUUAUUAAAGAAUAAAAUUAAAAUUUAUUUCUAUGUAUGGUUUUUAUCCUUAACGUUUUCGUCCUAUUUAAAUCCCUAAUGUUUUAAAAUCGUCUCAAUUUUGUCCUCUCGUCAAUUCUAUUAACGACAACAAUGAGCCAAUUUUAAAACGUUAGAAACUUAAAAAAGACGAUUUAAACGUUAGGGACAAUUUUAGAACUUAUCCAAACGUUGGGGACAAAAACAUACUUUACUCUUUAAAAUAAGAAUUUUCUCGAGUUGAUUGAUGUUACCUAUCAAAUUUAAUUUCAAAACUUAAGAACUUUGAGAAUAAGUUUUCAAACUUAAUUGAAGUAAAACAUGUGUCACUGCUGACAGUACUAAGUACUAACAUUACUCUUUCCUCCAUGCCUUAUUCAGCCGGGCCUUAUCAACAAAUGCAACAGGGUCCGUGUCUGAACUUGCAUCAGUCUCCUAUGAGUGGAAACAACACUGAUAGGGAAGGUUUAUCACCUCCAUUAGGGGGGAGGAAUGAUCUUGCAGGAGACAUAGGGGAUCCAUUACAAAAGCAAUUCGAAUUCCCUAUGAACAGGUAUUUUCUGUUUCUUGUGUUCAUCAAAAGCAUUGAUAUAUUUGUUUAGUUAGGCGUGUUCCAUGUAGUGUUAUAUUUUAUAUAAAUAGUAUUUAGCCAAUCAUAUUCUUCAUGUGUCUAUGACAAAUUAAAAAAUAGUGUGUAAUAACUAUGUGUUUAUAGCUAAUUAGGACUGCUGCUUUUUGUAAUAGAUUAUAUUGUGGCUUGUAUGCGGUUUUUUCAGGAGUGAUGAUGAGGAUGAGUAUGGUGUAUAUCAGUUAGACUCCGAGAUGAGACAUUAUCCUCAGGUGAAUAUCUACUAUGGACAGGCUGAGUUCGAAGGAAUAAGCAACACUGAUGGCUCGCAGAAAGUGCAUCCUGAUGCAGAUAACGGUAAUGCAAAUCUCACUUCAGAGAACGGAUUCGACACACAGGGUUUAGAAAGAAACACAGCAGUUGGGAAGAGUGAGGAUGAACCUUAUAUUGAAGCACCUGAAGCACCUUCCUCACUAUAUGUUUCAGAAGAUGUUGAUGCUGAACCUGUUGAUUUUGAAAAUAAUGGACUUCUCUGGCUCCCUCCUGUACCAGAAGAUGCAGAAGACGAGCGAGAAACUUUUUUUAUUGAUGAAGAUGAUGAAGAUAAUGACGGGAAUGGGAAUGCCAUUGAUGACUGGGGAUAUCUGCGCAAUUCAAACAGUUUUGGAAGUGGAGAGCAUCGCCACAAGGAUAGGACAAGUGAGGAGCAGAAGAAGGUCAUGAAGAAUGCAGUAGAUGGACAUUUUAGGGCAUUGGUGGCUCAGCUGUUACAGGUCGAAAACCUACCUGUUGAAGACAAUGAUGAAAACGUUUGGAUGGAAAUAAUCACAUCUCUCUCGUGGGAAGCUGCUACUUUAUUGAAGCCAGAUACUAGCAAAAGUGGAGGGAUGGACCCAGCUGGUAAUGUGAAAGUCAAGUGCAUUGCUUGUGGCAGCCGCAUUGAAAGGUAAAUGCUAUAAUUUAUCUGAUUUUCUGCACGUGAUUUCUAUGUUGUCAUACUUAUCAGGUUUUCUUUUCUACAAUAGGGUUGUUAAAGGAGUUGUUUGUAAGAAGAAUGUGGCUCAUCGUCGCAUGACAUCAAAAGUUGAUAAACCUUGCUUGUUGAUCCUUGGAGGGGCUCUUGAGUACAGGCACUCAAAAUGUGCCUUCAAUUGAUCAUCUUUCAUCACCAAAGUUGGGUUACUGUGAAGCUUUUCAUGUUGAAAAUCUGAGCAGUGCUGCUGCUCAAGGUAGUAAAAAACCAAUGAAAACAUUUAUGUUUUUUGACCGCUGCCCAAAGCCAUUGGGUUGCACAGUUCUAAUCUAAUCUAAUCUUAUUUUAUAGAAAUUUUAUUGUUAUUAUUUUAUUAUUAUAAAAAAAAUGUUCUGGAGACUUUAACUUGUAAAUUACAAAUCAUGUAAAAUGUGUGUGCACUAGCAACCACAAGGCAUGUGUCUUUCUUAAGGAAAAAAUAUAACUUAAUUGUCAUUACUACCAACUACACAUUAAUAUUUUUCUAAUUUUGACAUCGUUGAACAGAUUUUACUUAAAGGUGCUGAUGAGGAAGAAUUGAAGGAGGUAAAGCAUGUGGUUCAGUAUGCAGUUUUUGCAGCUUACCAUCUGGCUUUGGAGACAUCUUUUCUUGCUGAUGAAGGAAUCUCUUCCCAUAAAUUCCGCUUAACAGUCUGCCUCUUCCUAAUACAACAUCAACCAUUCAGAGGUCAAUCUCAACAGUUCCUGAUUUCGUUGCUCCUAGCAGUGAAAAGUCUCAGGGGCUUGAAUCCAACACUGGACCAUGGAGAACUAAGAGUGUCAGCGGUACUGAAUCCUAUUUGUCUAAUGAUGAUCCUUGUGAAUCUUUGCAAUCUGCAUCAUGUAUCAGCCAUGCAACUGCCUUUAUUCUUCCAUUGUUGCUUCUGGAAAUGCAAUUCCAGGUUCAUACAAUGAGAAAAUUCUUCCUAGCAAAUACACAAAUGACUCCACACAACCCCUGGAGGAGGAAACUCCUGAAGUGAACAACUCUUUGGGAAUCAUGAAUGAUCCUACUGUAAAUGGUUAUGGACCUGCAGAGAAAUUAGAUCAUGGCAUCAAUAGAUUUUGUAAUAUCCAUUUCAUUGUAUUUCAGUGGCUGCAUUGUCAAUAAUAAGAACUCUUUAAUAAUAAGAACUUGAGUUUUCUUAAGUUUCUGAUAUAUAAGAGUUCUCAAAUUACCUGUUUUGGAACAAAACACAGACAUUUGGUCGUUUGUGGUGGGAUGAAAUUGUGCCAACUGUUGUGAUGCCAACUGUUAUGACUGGAGCCGAGCCUCAUAAUCAGGUAUUAUUCUUGCAUUAUGCGACUUCCAUUAAUUGCAAAAAGACUUGAUGGGAUUUUUGCUUUUUGGGAAAUAAGAGCUUGCAUUGCAAUCCUUGGAGGUAUUCUUGGGUUCUUUACAAGAUCUUUCCAAACUUGAAAGCUUAGUUUUUUGUAAUUAAGACAUUUGCACAAUGUUGAACUAUCCUCAAAUGCUGUCAUUGGGUGAGACUGCAAAUUCAUUAGUUCCACAAAAAAAAAAAAAUGGAACUAGAAAUUACUCAAACUUAAAAAAACGAAAGGAUAUUUAAUUUUAGGAUGUUUUGUAUUCUUUGAUAGUCAUUGAGGUAAUACUAUAGAGAACUAGAGAUAGAGACAUAUUUUUAUAGUACUUUAAAGAAAUAAUUGUUCUAUAUGAUUGAAUAUACACACAGCAAGCAAACUUUUUAUACAGGCACAACUGCAAUAAUUAGCUUAUUAGACCUACUCACAAAUAGUUAGUGAGAUCUAAUCCAACAAAUCCUCUUCUUUUUUGGUAAGUGUAACUAAUUUUGGGCUAUAGAAAUCCUCAUUAGUGUACUCACAUUCCAGAGUUCGUUCUUAGUCCUUAUUGAAUCAAAGUAAAUUCUUCUCAGCCUUAGAUUACACGAAAGAAACGAAAAUUUCGUCUACAAUGACAAAGAUCAAAACAUGAUUAGUAACAUCAACUGUUCUCACUAUCACUGACAGGCUCAUAGUUCUAGCUCCAUCCCUGAAUAAGCAUUCACUUAACUUAGCUUCUGAAUUAGGCCUCACUGUUUUGCCUGUUCAAAGAAAUAACAUAAAAGCUCUCAGUUGUUGUGUUACAUUUACAAAUUAAUAGUGUGACCCUAGUUGAUCACUCAUUAGACAUUAAACCGUUCCAUUUUAUCCAUUUUACUUGGCCGGCAUAGAUAAAAUUGACAGUGACUAUAUAUGGUUUUCCUGUGUUGUGUGCAAUAUGAAAAAUUUCUCAAUCAUGGGUUUGAUUUCAGUGUGUCUCUGAAUAUUCAAGUAGUACAUAGCAAAGACAAACUAAAAAUAGAGGAAAUAAGAAUGCACCUGUGAAUAAAGGAAGGUGCCAAGAAUUGCAAUCGCAGCAGCAACUGCAUUGGUGGGAUGAAUUGGCGUGUGGAAGAGAAAAUUACUGAAAUUCUCUUCAUUGUGUUCCCUAUGCUAAAUGUCAAGGGAGAUAUUUGAUCAAGAGACAUGCAAGAGACUUGAUUACACAAGUGGUAGAACACACUCUGAGCAACUACCCACC
rnacentral:lncRNA from 1 species